GUGGGGAAUAUUGCGCAAUGGGCGAAAGCCUGACGCAGCGACGCCGCGUGGGGGAUGAAGGCCUUCGGGUUGUAAACCCCUUUCAGCAGGGACGAAGCGAGAGUGACGGUACCUGCAGAAGAAGCGCCGGCUAACUACGUGCCAGCAGCCGCGGUAACACGUAGGGCGCAAGCGUUGUCCGGAAUUAUUGGGCGUAAAGAGCUCGUAGGCGGUCUGCUACGUCCGCUGUGAAAACCAGGGGCUUAACCCUUGGCUGGCAGUGGAUACGGGCAGACUAGAGGUAGGUAGGGGAGAAUGGAAUUCCCGGUGUAGCGGUGAAAUGCGCAGAUAUCGGGAGGAACACCGGUGGCGAAGGCGGUUCUCUGGGCCUUACCUGACGCUGAGGAGCGAAAGCGUGGGGAGCGAACAGGAUUAGAUACCCUUGUAGUCC
rnacentral:rRNA from 1 species